UCCCUGGUGGCUUAGCAGUAAAGCAUCUGCCUGCAAUGCAGGAGACACAGGAGACACAGGUUCGAUUCCUGGGUUGGGAA
rnacentral:tRNA from 1 species